GAGGAGGUUGGGGGCUGAGGAGAAAAAUAGCAGCAUUUGUGGGAAAAUGGGAAUUUUAGCCACUACAGAGUUUCACAGUUGUAUUACCUCAGCUGACUAAAAUUAGGACAUGGAUAAGGCAAAAGAUUCACACACACACACACACACACACACACACACACACACACACACACACACACACCUAUUCAGCAGCAAAAAAAACUUACACACUCUUGACUGCCAACAUAUUAAUUAAGAGCAUUAAUUCAGUUCAGUACCCUGAGGUAUAAUUAAUGUCUGCAUCUUUAUAUAUGAGUGAACUUGUCAGGGCGAGCAUGCUUCUCUCUCGGAGUGUUUACACAGAAUAGGGAAUUGAACUAUUCUGGCUAAUUAAAUCUGGAGCAGCCAGCAUUACAUUUAAGUUACCUGAAAAAGAGAAAAACUGAAAUAGAGCAGAUUACAAUUUUUUAACUCCUCCCAUGCUGGGGUCAUUUAAAGACUUAAAGCACCUGGUAUCCUCUGAUUCAAAAAGGUCCUGCAAUACUGUUGAUACCAAGAUCCACUCAUGACUGCAAAUAGUUUAAAGGCAUGACCUGUUUACACAUCUGUACUACCAGGUGAGUCUGUUCAGUUUAGUACAGAAGUUCUUUGACAUGUGUUGUUGAGUGUGUGCAGGGAAAGACUAAUAUGUGUCUUGCUUAUGAUUGCUCUGUCACAGUAAGUACAUACUCCAUCUUUAUGGCGUGACAUGUUUCUUGUGGAUUUUGUUUCACUUUUCCUGUUUCCAGCACUCGACAAAAGAUGUGUGAUUCAGUGUUAUAAUACACUUAAUGUGCUUAAAGGACCAACACUCAAUGAUCACUCAAAUAAGAAGCAUUAGACAAAAACAAACAAAGUAAUACACACCAUCAGCUGAACAGCACACACCAACUGACAGCUCAUUGACUGACCAAAUAGUUGACAUUUAAGAUUAUCAAUUGUACUCAAACAAUUCAGUGAAAUGCCCUUUAGAGUCAGACAGCCUUUGUCCGCUCUCUACUCAUCAUUCAUGUAAUUAGUGAUUACAUCAUUCAUCUGCUCAGACACUCACUCUCUGGUGGUGGUAAACUACCUUAGUGGUCACAGCUUCCCUGGGGCAGACUGACGGAAACGUGGCUGCCAGUUUGCGCUUACAGCCUCUCCGACCACCACCACACAACACUUACAAUCAUACACCAGUGGAGGACACACACUGGGAGCAAGGCAGGUUAAGUGUUUACAGACCAGUGGCACUGACCUCUCACAUCAUGAAGGUUAUGGAGAGACUGGUCCUGGCACACCUCAGACCGCUGGUGCGCACAUCACAAGACCCCCUGCAGUUUGCUUAUCAGCCCCACGUUGGGGUUGAUUAUGCAAUCAUUUACCUGCUGCAAAAGGCCUACGCCUCCCUGGACAGACCCAACACCUCAGUACGCAUCAUGUUCUUCGACUUCUCGAGCGCCUUCAACACCAUCCAGCCCAGACUGUUGAAGGCCAAACUGGAGAGCAUGCGGGUGAGUUCUCCCCUCAUCACUUGGGAUCGAUGACUAUCUGACGGGCAGGCCGCAGUUUGUGAGAUUACGGAACUGUGAGUCUGGUCGUCUGAUCAGUGACAUCGGAGCCCCCCAGGGGACUGUGCUGUCCCCUUUCCUCUUCACCACAUACACAUCAGACUUUAAGUACUGCACUGAGUCGUGUCACCUGCAGAAGUUCUCCGAUGACACGGCCAUUGUGGGGUGUGUGGAGGGGGGAGGGGAGGCUGAGUACAGGGACCUGGUCGACCGCUUUGUGAAGUGGUGUGGGGAGAACCACCUGCAGCUGAACGUGGCGAAGACGAGAGAGAUGGUGGUGGAUUUUAGGAGGAACAAGCCCCUGCCCACUCCUGUCCGCAUAAGUGGGACAGAUGUGGAUUUGGUGGACUCCUACAAGUACCUGGGUGUUACACUGGACAAUAAACUGGACUGGUCCGCUAACACAGAGGCGGUGUACAAGAAGGGCCUGAGCCGGCUCUACUUCCUGAGGAGGCUCAGGUCCUUUAACAUCUGCAACAAGAUGCUGCAGAUGUUCUAUCAGUCUGUUGUGGCGAGCACAAUCUUCUUUGCUGCGGUGUCCUGGGGCGCGUGCAUCAAGGCAAAGGACGCCAACAGACUGAACAAACUCAUCAGAAGGGCAGAGUCUGUUGUGGGCUCUAAACUCGUCACCCUGGAAGAGGUGGUGGAAGACAGGAUGCUGGCAAAGCUGCUGGCAAUCAUGGACAAUCCCUCCCACCCCCUCUACUACACACUGGACAGGUUGAAGAGCAGCUUCAGCAACAGACUCAUUCAACCCCGCUUCUCUAAGGAAAGAUACAGGAAGUCAUUCCUACCUACUGCAAUAAGACUCUUUAACUCAUCCACCCCUGUUAGAGCCACAGUCACUUACAUGGACUAGCCUGCCAUUCCUACAUUGUUGUUAUAAAUACGGGUACACAUGCUUAGGUUGUAAUUAAGUUAUAUUAAGCACAUAUAAGUAUCAUACAAUAUUUUUAUCACUUUUGCACAUUUCACCUUUGCACAUCUACACUUACAGAUUCAUUCAUCUUAGUACAUACUAUUUAAGUACUCAUAUUCAUUCAUUAUCUUGUAUAGUCUUGUAUAGUCUUGUAUAUUUUAUCUAUUUUUUGUAUUUCUCUUGUAUUGCUUGUAUCGGCUACUACAACAACCGAAUUUCCCCUCGGGGAUUAAUAAAGUUCUCUAUCUAUCUAUCUAUCUAUCUAAGUGUCUUGCCCAAGGACACAACAGACAGAGGAGGGAUGGGGGGGAAUCGAACCACUAACCUUCCAGUUAUUGGAUGACCACUCUACCUCCUAAGCUACUGCCACCCCAAAAAAGGGAAAAUAUACACCGUCCUGCCAACAGGUGUAGAGGACUGUGGUGUGUUUGUAAAUGUCACUGUUCAUGAUUUAUUUAAACUAACAUUAAAUCUCUCAUGAAACAGUAAUUGCAUUUAUUGAUUGUGAUCUCUUUUGUCAAAGUAAUUGUGAUAGUUUGGCAAUUAUCUGCAGCACUUUAAACCUUACUAUUCAUUGUUUUUUCCAGAUUCUGAGUCAUAAAGAUUUGUAAACUGUUGCAAUAAACUAUGGGCUUUAUAUGCUGUACCCGUUUACCAUGAAUAUCCAGUACCUCACUGCCUGUGCCAUAUAAAGUAUGCCAUCUUUGUGUACAAUUAAACUGCAGAGGUCAAUGAGUGGAGAAAUCAAUUCUUUGGGACUGGUAGAAAUUAACCUCUAAGGAGUCAACUCUUUAUCCUCAGAUUAUGGACCAGCAAGGGAGUGAUGAGAGUCGGUAAUGAAGGAGGAUCCUCUGGAGGAAAUAAGCGUUCAUGAAGGAAAUGAAUAACGCUGUUGCUCCUUAAAUAGCUCAGAGGAGGGUGGUCUAUAGUGAGGAUAUUAAACUCUGACUUCCCUGGGGACUCGUUCUUGUAUAGGAGUAAAUGUAUUUAACCUUUUCCAACCAUGUGACCGCUGGCUGACAGCGUCUGGAAAUAACUUCAGUCUGAGUUUCCUAAGGAUUGUAAGAAGAAAAGGUUCAGGGUUUAUGGUCUGUCUAUGUGGAUAUGUGCAUUUUUCACUUAAGUGCUACAGUUGAAUGAAUAUUGAUGCUCUGUUUUAAUUCAAUGCUUUCAAAUGUACGGGUCAGGACCAACACAUUUCAGGAAGUGUAUCUCUUCAUCCAUUUUAAGAAAAUGUCAUUUUACCUGCUUCGUCUAUACACAAACAGCUCUUUUCAUUCAGACGCACUUUAAGUGUUUUGCAUUAAUGUUUGAAAUGGCUCCAUUAAGACAUGAGGACUCAGGCUGAGAGCUGUGAUGCUUGCACAGUAAUAGGUACUCAGUUGGUAAAAGGAAGUACUGGCUCUGCUGAUAAACAAAGGUGAGAUGGAAAAUGAGGAUAUCAGUGAAAGCAUCUUUUCUUUGUUCUCAAAUUCAGCAUCACUAAUGGGUUUUAAAAUCAUUUUUGCAUCUGAAGACAUCAUUUACGGCCAUUAAGAACAACACAGCACACACACAUUUACUGAAUUCACAUUUUCAUCAAAGGCAUGGUUUUAUUUUAAUACAAAGAACUGUCUUUCAUUUUCUUCAUUACUCAUACUACAUGAAGGGAUUUUUCUCCAGGUUCCAAUCUUAUUCAUGUCAUUGGAAGCAAAUCUUCAAUCUGUAAAGCAUAAGUACGUCUCAUUGACAAUCCUCACAUUAUAGAAAAUAUAACUGCUACCUCACGUCAUGUCAGCAGAAAGUGAUAUUUUACUCCUCCUCAAACACGACAGGGACAAUCAUUCUACUCCAGUGCUUUGUGUCGCUUUUCAUUCCCAGUGAUGAAGAGACAUGAGCGAGAAGCAGUGAAUGUGAAUUUCAACUAGCUGAUACCUGUAUGAAACCUCUGAAGAGGCACUGGGAAAGUCUGGUUAGAAAAUGUUUCUGUUUUUCCGGCCACUUCUUUGGGUAAACUACACUUACCUUGUCAUCAGCAUAGAAUUCAGCCAGCAUCCCUGAUGGUGUUGGGUUGCGUAAGGAAUGGCUGGUUUACACAUCUGUGAAGGAAUCAGUAACACUGAAUGACACAGUUCUAACCGGAGCAACAUCUGCUGCCAUCCAGAUUAUGCAGUUUUUUCAGGGAAUGACAUGUAUCUCAUCUGAGGCUGGACAACAUUAAAAACAAAACUGCAUGUUGGCUCAGAACAAAAACACAAAGUUUCACUUCGUUGUUUGUGUAAUCCAGGAGACAUACAGUAAUGUUCAGAUUGAUUUAAAAGUGAUUAUUUGAGAAGUGUUGGCCAUGUCCUCAGGCUUUGAUCACACACUGAGCUGUAGUAGUGUUAUAAUAUAGCAGGGACUUCAGGAAGAUUUACAAGCAUAAGAAAUUUAACAUUUUAUCAAACUUUACCCAUCAAAACUAUCCUAAGAGUAUUUCUGCAGCCUAAUUUAUUUUCCUGACCACCCAACUUGAGGUCCAGACCCAGUCUGUGUGAGAAUGAUCCUCAGCAUCAAUGUAUAAUUAACUAGAAAGGUCAAAAGAUCCAUCUGAUUUUUCAAUUAGACUCUUAUCCCCUGAGGAUGGGUCUCGUGUUUGACUUCCUUCUAUAGAAUGGGAGUCACCGAGGUCAGCAAAAUUAAUGUCUCCCAUGUCUGAACCAAUCCCCGCAGGGUUUUUAUCCUCAGCAAUUCACAAGGCUGGAUGUGACAACCUUCUCAAGUUCACCUUCUGUAUAGAUGGAUUUUUGGUAAUUUUGACUGCCGAGCGUCAGACUUUGUGAAAACAGUGGAGUAUUUUACACAGGCCUUGUUUGAUGCCGUGGGGAAAAUCCAUUUUUUACUGCUAUCUGAUAGAUCUUACACACAGCGUUUCAUCUGUAACACAUCUCAGUUAAAGGUUUCACGAGUGACUAUAAGCAAAUAAGUGGUCAGGGUCUGAACUUUUCUCAGAUCUGCCUUUUUUUCUCUCCAGAUGAGCAAGCCAGACAAACUGCAGAUUCUUCCCUUUUAAAAGCAACAAUUUUAUAUGCCAGACUUGGAUUAGAAACGGAUCCAAAUUCUGCUGGAUCAGUUGAAAAUAGACAUACAGUUUUGGUCGGGAAAUUUGAUAAAUUUCCUGAGUGAUCAACAGUUUGGCUCUGAGAAGAUCUGUUGAGUUUUUGGCAGGUCGGAAAUGAUGGUCAGCUGUGUGCAAUUUUGGGAGUGAAACAUUGUGAUUUCCCUUAUGGCUUGUCUCAUAAUCUCUGCUAUGAAAAUGUGCUUAUCUCAUUUAAAAUCUUUUGGGCGGUAUUUUAUAUAUUAUGUUGCAACUCAAAGUUUUGACAGAUUUAAAACCAAACUUCACUGCUGAACACGUUAUAUCUAGCUUUGUUCUCUCCUUUUAGAAGAACAAAUUUAAAUUGUAUUGCUGUAAAACCAAUACUCUUGUGAUAACACAGGUUGUGAAUUUAUGAAUUAAUAGUAAAAUUAUCACUUUUUAUGACAAACUGAGGUUUUUUGUAAGUAUCAAUCAAUCAAUCUUCAUUUAUAUAGCAUCAAUUCACAACAAGUGUUAUCCCAAGAGGCUUUAAAAACUAGUCUAGACUCUAAUUAAAAGACCCAAUGUAAAGACGGGAUAGACUGAGCCCUGUGUUGUCAGGUCAAAACUAUUCCCAUCCCAUCUUCAACCGCAUGAGUGUAGCACUUUGCAGCAUUUAGCAAGUAACAUUGGAAAGGAAGAAUUUCCUUUAACAGGUAGAAACCUCGAGCAGAACAUGUCUCAUAUUUGACAGUCACCUGCUGCUGUUUAAAGAGAGGAUCAAGGGAGAUGAAGAAAGAGAGAAAUGGACAGUGGAUAGACUAAGGCUUGUAGUUGAAGCAGCCAGAAAACAGGCAAGAACUGCACAGAGGCUCCCAGAAAAGACUGUGUAUCAAUGACCCUAAUGGGGCAUGAUGAUUCAUAGUUAAUGAUGCAGACAGACAGAGGAGGGAGAAGGGGAGAAAAGUGCUCAAUAUGUCACCUUUAGCCUUCAGCAGCAUAAGUAAAAGCUGACCCAGGCCCGAAC